rnacentral:lncRNA from 1 species
UUUCAUGGUUCCCCGUCUCUGGCGUCCCUCCCUUGCUAUUCUGCCUGCCUUCACAGCCCUGCCACAUGGCUGGACAGGCCUCAGCCACAGCUCCUGCCUCACUGGCUGAUGCUGUGGGUUGAAGAAUACAGUCUCUGCAGACAGGCCUGGGCUCCCGUCCCACCUCAGCCACUUUGGCUCACUGCAACCUCCACCUCCCAGGUUCAAGCAAUUCUCCUGCCUCACCCUCCCAAAUAGCUGGGGUUACAGGCGCCCACCACCACACCUGACUAAUUUUUGUAUUUUUAGUAAAGACGGGGUUUCACCAUAUUGGCCAGGCUGGUUUCGAUUUCCUGACCUCA